rnacentral:rRNA from 1 species
GGGUCCCUACAAGCGGUGGAACAUGUGGUUUAAUUCGAUGCAACGCGAAGAACCUUACCUGGUCUUGACAUACACAGAAUCUUGUAGAGAUACGAGAGUGCCUUCGGGAAUUGUGAUACAGGUGCUGCAUGGCUGUCGUCAGCUCGUGUCGUGAGAUGUUGGGUUAAGUCCCGCAACGAGCGCAACCCUUGUCCUUAGUUACCAGCGGGUUAAGCCGGGAACUCUAAGGAUACUGCCAGUGACAAACUGGAGGAAGGCGGGGACGACGUCAAGUCAUCAUGGCCCUUACGACCAGGGCUACACACGUGCUACAAUGGUAGGUACAGAGGGCAGCUACACAGCGAUGUGAUGCGAAUCUCAAAAAGCCUAUCGUAGUCCAGAUUGGAGUCUGCAACUCGACUCCAUGAAGUAGGAAUCGCUAGUAAUCG